GAUGAACGCUGGCGGCGUGCCUAACACAUGCAAGUCGAACGGAGAUUCCGGACGGAAGUUUUCGGAUGGAAGACUGUAAUUCUUAGUGGCGGACGGGUGAGUAACGCGUGGGCAACCUGCCCUAUACAGGGGGAUAGCAGCUGGAAACGGCUGGUAAGACCGCAUAAGUCGGCGAGACCGCAUGGUUUUGCCGGGAAAUGAGCAAUCAGGUAUAGGAUGGGCCCGCGUCCGAUUAGCCAGUUGGCAGGGUAAAAGCCUACCAAAGCAACGAUCGGUAGCCGGACGGGAAGGUCGGCCGGCAACAUUGGAACGGAGCACCGGCCCAAACUCCUACGGGGGGAAGAAGUGGGGGAUAUGGAAAAAUGAAGGAAACUCUAAUGAGGCGCGGCGGGGGAGGGAAGGAAGAAUUUGGUUAGGAAAGGCCCAAUAAGCAGGAAGGUGGAGGACGGAACUGGCCUAGGAGGCCCGGCUAACUACGUG
rnacentral:rRNA from 1 species